rnacentral:tRNA from 1 species
AAGAAAAAUCCAAUACUUUUUUAAGAUAUGUAUUAGUUUGAAUAUAUUCUUGUAUUGAAGAGAAAAAAUUUAGAGAGUUUGUUUUUCUCAUCAUCUAAAUUUCUUGUUAAUAAAUGUAGUGUUUUCUUAAAUCUAAUUUUUAUUAGUAUAACAUAAAAAGUUUAUAGAACUCUUGAUUUUACUUACUAAAUAACUUUGCAUGAAGAGAUUUUUUUUCAAAUGAUUUAUAUAAGCGAAAUGAGUAUAAUGUGGAAAAAAUGAAUUACAAUUUAUUCUUUAUUUAUAUAACAGGUUUAUUUUUUAUUUUUUCCAGUUUUAUUGUAAACUGGAAAAAAUAAAUAUAUAUUGCUAAUUUAUUUACGACUUAUCUGUAUUUUCGUUAUUUUCUAAAUUGCACAUAUUAACAUAGUUGCAAUCUAAAUAAUAAAAAAUUGCUUCAUCUAAACAUCCAGCAGACCAACCUACAGGUCUUUCUUCAUCAAAAUUGUAAAGUUCAGUAGUGUUUGUGUCUAGAUUAAUGCUGUUAUUGAUAUUGUCUGUCAUAUAAGAAUUCUCCCGAAAUUUGUAAUGUUGAUUGCAUUAUGUAAGUUAGUAGCUUUUAUUGCUACUGAAGAAAAUAUUAUUACUCUUAAUUUCUUCAUAUUAUGGCACAAUAGAGACUCUACUCUUGCUUUGCUAAUUUUUUUAGACAAAGUUGAAUAUACGUUCUGUUUAUUCAAUAUUCUUUUUUAUAUUAUGAAUAGUGCUGAAAAAAAAGUCAAGUUACUAAGUAAAAAAAUGAAGACUAGUAUUUUCAUUAUAUAUUAUUUACAAAAUACAAUUGUCAUUAAAGUGAAUUCUGGUGUGUUUCAUAAUUAACAUUGACUUUUUGAGCGGGUAACGGGAAUCGAACCCGUGAAUCCACCUUGGCAAGGUGGUGUUUUACCUCUAAACUAUACCCGCGAACAGCUAUGUUUUAAUACUAACUAAUAAUUGCAAAUUUUUCAAACAAUAAACCAAGUUGUUUGAUUUUAUAUAAAACUUGGUUUAU